GCCGAAGUGGCGAAAUUGGUAGACGCAAGGGACUCAAAAUCCCUCGUUGGCAACAACGUGCCGGUUCGAGUCCGGCCUUCGGCACCA
rnacentral:tRNA from 1 species